rnacentral:rRNA from 1 species
GACGAACGCUGGCGGCGUGCUUAACACAUGCAAGUCGAACGGAAAGGCCCUGCUUGCAGGGUACUCGAGUGGCGAACGGGUGAGUAACACGUGGGUGAUCUGCCCUGCACUUCGGGAUAAGCUUGGGAAACUGGGUCUAAUACCGGAUAGGAACCAUCUUUAGUGCGGUGGUUGGAAAGUUUUUUCGGUGUAGGAUGAGCUCGCGGCCUAUCAGCUUGUUGGUGGGGUAAUGGCCUACCAAGGCGGCGACGGGUAGCCGGCCUGAGAGGGUGUACGGCCACAUUGGGACUGAGAUACGGCCCAGACUCCUACGGGAGGCAGCAGUGGGGAAUAUUGCACAAUGGGCGCAAGCCUGAUGCAGCGACGCCGCGUGGGGGAUGAAGGCCUUCGGGUUGUAAACUCCUUUCGCUAGGGACGAAGCUUUUUGUGACGGUACCUAGAUAAGAAGCACCGGCUAACUACGUG